GAAUGUUUCCAGGAAGAGCUACAAAAAAUUUAAGAAGCUCCAAAGCCAAGACAAGUCACUCAGCAGGGAACUGAUGACCAGGGAGGCACCCUCCAAGUUUGUCACCCAGAAGAUAAACACCCAG